UAGACCUGCACAUGCACAUUGCCAAUGCAAUGAUCCCCACAGAUUUGGGAAACGGUGUGCCAAAGCGGAUGGGAACUGUGACUAUGUUGCGAUUGAAAAUUGAAAAGUCCAAGGCUACUCUACACUGAAAAAAGAGGACAGCCACAACGACGGCCUGACAAUGAGCUUCGGAGAUCUUCAGAAAACAUUUACGACCAAUAACAGACUUCAACCUGCUCUAUUUCAACCAUUGCACAUCUUGCAAAAUGAGGUUAAAAGUCAUUAUGCACAACAAGGAUUCAGCCAACAAGGACGCAAUACAACGACACAAAUGCGUUGAUAAGAAUAUUUCCAACAAGGAUUUUUAAACGGUGACUUUUUUAAAAUAAGAAAACUGUCCGCCAGUUCAUGCCACUCAUUUUCGUAUCUAUCAAAUAUGAAAGGCAGACUUUCCAGUUAGUGCUUUUAAAUUAAUUUAACUUGGAAAAUUAUAAAGCCAAAAAUAGCGAAGUGAAAAUCUUGCUCGUGACAUAAUUAAUUUUUCAAUCUUUCAGUCGAUCAGCCAAGACCCGAGGAAGACAAGUAAAGCUUUAUUUUCUCUUUCAUCCUCUGUAUUCCGGAGAAAAUAUAGGAUACUCGUGUUUUCAUGAUGGACUCAAUGUGUUCGGGAACGUAGAAAUCCGAUGCAACCUAUCUAGCCCAGCCGAUCUCCUUUGUUCAUCUCUAUGAAGUAGGGAGUUUGCCAGUUGCCAACUCCCGAAGUGCAAAAGCAUGCGUCAUUUUUCACCCAGUUCGUCUCAUCCUCAAAAGACAACUAUCAAACCAGCCCUCAGCCCUUUUAGGCAUUAAUUACUUUGCUAUCCAACCGAUCUGUUUUUCCUAUUAUUUGCAUUUCGCAGCAGGGAUGUUUUUGCAAGACUAAUGCAGCUGCGAGUAGCUAUGAAUGCAUUUCUCACUGUAAGGGCGAAAUAGGUAAGCAGAAUAGAUGUGUUCCUCCAAAAAUAAGGAUAGAUUAAUACAUGUAAAACUUCUACAUCUUUGUUUUGAUGAAUAGCAAACAAAAGUUUAUGAGUUGCAUGCUA